AUCAUUAAUAAUAAGCGGUAGAAGAAGCAUGCUUUUAUUUAUGAAAAUCUUGAUUGCUUUCUCUUGGUAAUGGUAGGAAGAAUGCAAAACACGUAGUGAGUUCAGUUGUGACACAAGCACCAAACUUUGAUGGGUAUCAGUGGAGAAAGUACGGGUAGAAGUGGAUCUCCAAAGCAAAGCAUUCUAGGCUGCAAUUGAGUACAUUCAUUCUUUAUCAAGGGCACAGCCUGCUCGUUCUCUCAAUGGUGCUGGCCUUUGUCCUGCUAGUAGAUCACUUAGCACCCAGGCCACCACUACGUCAAGCACACCACAGUUGAAAGCACACCCCAUGUCAAGCAGCCAGGCCGCCACUAUGUUAAGCAAAACAGAAGACGGGAAGAACUGAUGUAGCCAUGUUCAUGCUUCCACUGUUGAAAUGCAUAUUCAGCAUAGCUUACUCAGUUCCUAUCUGUUGUUUCAACGUUGAUUUAAAAGAAGAGCUGGUAGUUGUGAGCUAUCUGUAAAUGAUCUAGUUGUGAAUGAUAUUAUAAUUGUGAUGCUUUUAUGAAUAUAUAAUUGUGGUGCUUUUGU